rnacentral:rRNA from 1 species
GUGGAAAACGUUGUGAAGGUGCAUAGACAACUAGGAGGUUGGCUCAGAAGCAGCCACCCUUUAAAGAGUGCGUAAUAGCUCACUAGUCGAGUGCUCUUGCGCGGAUAAUGUACCGGGGCUAAGCAUAUUACCGAAACUGUGGAUGCGUAAGCAUGGUAGGAUAGCGUAAUUAACGCGAUGAAGGAUGACCGUAAGGACAUGUUGGAGCGUUAACUAGUGAGAAUUCCGGUAUGAGUAGCGAAAGAUAGGUGAGAAUCCUAUCCACCGAAUGAGUAAGGUUUCCCCCGGAAGGCUCGUCCGCGGGGGGUUAGUCGGGACCUAAGGCGAGGCUGAAAAGCGUAGUCGAUGGACAACAGGUUGAUAUUCCUGUACCGAUAUUUAAUUGCCGAAGGAAGGACGCAGAAGGAUAACACAGGCCACUAUUGGAUGUGGUUUUAAACAGUUAGUCUUCAUAAGAGUCAAAUGCUUUUAUGUUUAAGGAUAAGCUGUGAAUGUACCAAGUUUACUUGGAAAUUGUGUGAUUUCACGCUGCUGAAAAAAGUUUCGUAGGAAGAAAAUAUUGCCCGUACCGCAAACCGACACAGGUACUCAAGUGGAGAACACUAAGGUGAGCGAGUGAACUAUUGUUAAGGAACUCUGCAAAAUGAGUCCGUAACUUCGGAAGAAGGACUGCUGGUUUUAUACCAGCCGCAGCAAAUAGGCCCAAACAACUGUUUAUCAAAAACACAGGUUUCUGCAAAAUCGUAAGAUGAAGUAUAGGGGCUGACGCCUGCCCAGUGCUGGAAGGUUAAAAGGAGGACUUAGCUUCGGCGAAGGUCUUAAUUGAAGCCCCAGUGAACGGCGGCCGUAACUAUAACGGUCCUAAGGUAGCGAAAUUCCUUGUCGGGUAAGUUCCGACCCGCAUGAAAGGCGUAAUGAUUUGGGCGCUGUCUCAACAAUAGACUCGGUGAAAUUUAAAUUCCAGUGAAGAUGCUGGGUACCCGCGACAGGACGGAAAGACCCCGUGGAGCUUUACUGUAGCUUGAUAUUGAAUGUUUGUGCUGCAUGUGCAGGAUAGGUAGGAGACUUUGAAGUCGGAACGCUAGUUUCGAUUGAGUCACCCUUGAGAUACUACCUCUGUUGUAUGAACGUUCUAACUCUGAUCAGUUAUCCUGAUCGAAGACAGUGUCUGGCAGGCAGUUUGACUGGGGCGGUCGCCUCCUAAAAGAUAACGGAGGCGCUCAAAGGUUUGCUCAGAAUGGUUGGAAAUCAUUCGUAGCGUGUAAAGGCAUAAGCAAGCUUGACUGUGAGACUGACAAGUCGAGCAGGUACGAAAGUAGGACUUAGUGAUCCGGUGGUUCCGUAUGGAAGGGCCAUCGCUCAACGGACAAAAGCUACCCCGGGGAUAACAGGCUCAUCUCCCCCAAGAGUCCACAUCGACGGGGAGGUUUGGCACCUCGAUGUCGGCUCAUCGCAUCCUGGGGCUGUAGUCGGUCCCAAGGG